UAGGGAAUCUUCGGCAAUGGACGAAAGUCUGACCGAGCAACGCCGCGUGAGUGAAGAAGAUUUUCGGAUCGUAAAACUCUGUUGGUAGAGAAGAACGUUGGUGAGAGUGGAAAGCUCAUCAAGUGACGGUAACUACCCAGAAAGGGACGGCUAACUACGUGCCAC
rnacentral:rRNA from 1 species